AGUGAACGCUGGCGGCGUGCCUAAUACAUGCAAGUCGAACGUAGUGGGCACGGGCGAGUAAUGUAUACUAAUAUGCCCUACAAUAGAGGAGAACAGUUGGAAACGGCUGCUAAUACUCUAUAGUGUAGGAUGGGGCUAUAUUGUAUCAGCUAGUUGGUGAGGUAAUGGCUCACAAAGGCUAUGACGCCUCACUGGUCUGAGAGGAUGAUCAGUCACACUGGGACUGAGACACGGCCCAGACUCCUACGGGAGGCAGCAGUGGGGAAUAUUGCGCAAUGGGGGCAAGCCUGACGCAGCCAUGCCGCGUGAAUGAAGAAGGCCUUCGGGUUGUAAAGUUCUUUCAGUAGGGAGGCGUUACCUACAGAAGAAGCACCGGCUAACUCCGUGCCAGCAGCCGCGGUAAUAC
rnacentral:rRNA from 1 species